GGGUUGUGAGGUUAAGCGACUAAGCGUACACGGUGGAUGCCCUGGCAGUCAGAGGCGAUGAAGGACGUGCUAAUCUGCGAUAAGCGUCGGUAAGGUGAUAUGAACCGUUAUAACCGGCGAUUUCCGAAUGGGGAAACCCAGUGUGUUUCGACACACUAUCAUUAACUGAAUCCAUAGGUUAAUGAGGCGAACCGAGGGAACUGAAACAUCUAAGUACCCCGAGGAAAAGAAAUCAACCGAGAUUCCCCCAGUAGCGGCGAGCGAACGGGGAGCAGCCCAGAGCCUGAAUCAGUGUGUGUGUUAGUGGAAGCGUCUGGAAAGGCGCGCGAUACAGGGUGACAGCCCCGUACACAAAAAUGCACAUGCUGUGAGCUCGAUGAGUAGGGCGGGACACGUGGUAUCCUGUCUGAAUAUGGGGGGACCAUCCUCCAAGGCUAAAUACUCCUGACUGACCGAUAGUGAACCAGUACCGUGAGGGAAAGGCGAAAAGAACCCCGGCGAGGGGAGUGAAAAAGAACCUGAAACCGUGUACGUACAAGCAGUGGGAGCACGCUUAGGCGUGUGACUGCGUACCUUUUGUAUAAUGGGUCAGCGACUUAUAUUCUGUAGCAAGGUUAACCGAAUAGGGGAGCCGAAGGGAAACCGAGUCUUAACUGGGCGUUAAGUUGCAGGGUAUAGACCCGAAACCCGGUGAUCUAGCCAUGGGCAGGUUGAAGGUUGGGUAACACUAACUGGAGGACCGAACCGACUAAUGUUGAAAAAUUAGCGGAUGACUUGUGGCUGGGGGUGAAAGGCCAAUCAAACCGGGAGAUAGCUGGUUCUCCCCGAAAGCUAUUUAGGUAGCGCCUCGUGAAUUCAUCUCCGGGGGUAGAGCACUGUUUCGGCAAGGGGGUCAUCCCGACUUACCAACCCGAUGCAAACUGCGAAUACCGGAGAAUGUUAUCACGGGAGACACACGGCGGGUGCUAACGUCCGUCGUGAAGAGGGAAACAACCCAGACCGCCAGCUAAGGUCCCAAAGUCAUGGUUAAGUGGGAAACGAUGUGGGAAGGCCCAGACAGCCAGGAUGUUGGCUUAGAAGCAGCCAUCAUUUAAAGAAAGCGUAAUAGCUCACUGGUCGAGUCGGCCUGCGCGGAAGAUGUAACGGGGCUAAACCAUGCACCGAAGCUGCGGCAGCGACACUAUGUGUUGUUGGGUAGGGGAGCGUUCUGUAAGCCUGUGAAGGUGUACUGUGAGGUAUGCUGGAGGUAUCAGAAGUGCGAAUGCUGACAUAAGUAACGAUAAAGCGGGUGAAAAGCCCGCUCGCCGGAAGACCAAGGGUUCCUGUCCAACGUUAAUCGGGGCAGGGUGAGUCGACCCCUAAGGCGAGGCCGAAAGGCGUAGUCGAUGGGAAACAGGUUAAUAUUCCUGUACUUGGUGUUACUGCGAAGGGGGGACGGAGAAGGCUAUGUUGGCCGGGCGACGGUUGUCCCGGUUUAAGCGUGUAGGCUGGUUUUCCAGGCAAAUCCGGAAAAUCAAGGCUGAGGCGUGAUGACGAGGCACUACGGUGCUGAAGCAACAAAUGCCCUGCUUCCAGGAAAAGCCUCUAAGCAUCAGGUAACAUCAAAUCGUACCCCAAACCGACACAGGUGGUCAGGUAGAGAAUACCAAGGCGCUUGAGAGAACUCGGGUGAAGGAACUAGGCAAAAUGGUGCCGUAACUUCGGGAGAAGGCACGCUGAUAUGUAGGUGAAGUCCCUCGCGGAUGGAGCUGAAAUCAGUCGAAGAUACCAGCUGGCUGCAACUGUUUAUUAAAAACACAGCACUGUGCAAACACGAAAGUGGACGUAUACGGUGUGACGCCUGCCCGGUGCCGGAAGGUUAAUUGAUGGGGUCAGCGCAAGCGAAGCUCUUGAUCGAAGCCCCGGUAAACGGCGGCCGUAACUAUAACGGUCCUAAGGUAGCGAAAUUCCUUGUCGGGUAAGUUCCGACCUGCACGAAUGGCGUAAUGAUGGCCAGGCUGUCUCCACCCGAGACUCAGUGAAAUUGAACUCGCUGUGAAGAUGCAGUGUACCCGCGGCAAGACGGAAAGACCCCGUGAACCUUUACUAUAGCUUGACACUGAACAUUGAGCCUUGAUGUGUAGGAUAGGUGGGAGGCUUUGAAGUGUGGACGCCAGUCUGCAUGGAGCCGACCUUGAAAUACCACCCUUUAAUGUUUGAUGUUCUAACGUUGACCCGUGAUCCGGGUUGCGGACAGUGUCUGGUGGGUAGUUUGACUGGGGCGGUCUCCUCCUAAAGAGUAACGGAGGAGCACGAAGGUUGGCUAAUCCUGGUCGGACAUCAGGAGGUUAGUGCAAUGGCAUAAGCCAGCUUGACUGCGAGCGUGACGGCGCGAGCAGGUGCGAAAGCAGGUCAUAGUGAUCCGGUGGUUCUGAAUGGAAGGGCCAUCGCUCAACGGAUAAAAGGUACUCCGGGGAUAACAGGCUGAUACCGCCCAAGAGUUCAUAUCGACGGCGGUGUUUGGCACCUCGAUGUCGGCUCAUCACAUCCUGGGGCUGAAGUAGGUCCCAAGGGUAUGGCUGUUCGCCAUUUAAAGUGGUACGCGAGCUGGGUUUAGAACGUCGUGAGACAGUUCGGUCCCUAUCUGCCGUGGGCGCUGGAGAACUGAGGGGGGCUGCUCCUAGUACGAGAGGACCGGAGUGGACGCAUCACUGGUGUUCGGGUUGUCAUGCCAAUGGCACUGCCCGGUAGCUAAAUGCGGAAGAGAUAAGUGCUGAAAGCAUCUAAGCACGAAACUUGCCCCGAGAUGAGUUCUCCCUGACCCUUUAAGGGUCCUGAAGGAACGUUGAAGACGACGACGUUGAUAGGCCGGGUGUGUAAGCGCAGCGAUGCGUUGAGCUAACCGGUACUAAUGAACCGUGAGGCUUAACCUUACAACGCCGAAG
rnacentral:rRNA from 1 species